GGUCUCACUAUGCAGUUCAGGCUGGUCUGGAACUCACUUUGUAGACCAGGCUGGGCUUGAACUCACAAUUCUCCUGCCUCUGCAUCCUGAGUGCUGGGAUUAUAGGCAUUCGCCACCAUGCCUG
rnacentral:miRNA from 1 species